CCUACGGGAGGCUGCAGUGGGGAAUAUUGCACAAUGGGGGAAACCCUGAUGCAGCGACGCCGCGUGAGCGAUGAAGUAUUUCGGUAUGUAAACCUCUGUCUUUGGGGAAGAAAAUGACGGUACCCAAAGAGGAAGCUCCGGCUAACUACGUGCCAGCAGCCGCGGUAAUACGUAGGGAGCGAGCGUUGUCCGGAAUUACUGGGUGUAAAGGGAGCGUAGGCGGGCGAGAAAGUUGAAUGUUAAAUCUACCGGCUUAACUGGUAGCUGCGUUCAAAACUUCUUGUCUUGAGUGAAGUAGAGGCAGGCGGAAUUCCUAGUGUAGCGGUGAAAUGCGUAGAUAUUAGGAGGAACACCAGUGGCGAAGGCGGCCUGUUGGGCUUUAACUGACGCUGAGGCUCGAAAGCGUGGGGAGCAAACAGGAUUAGAUACCCGUGUAGUC
rnacentral:rRNA from 1 species